GACGUAGGGCGCGAGCGUUGUCCGGAUUUAUUGGGCGUAAAGAGCUCGUAGGCGGCUUGUUGCGUCGACUGUGAAAACCCGCAGCUUAACUGCGGGCCUGCAGUUGAUACGGGCAGGCUAGAGUUCGGUAGGGGAGACUGGAAUUCCUGGUGUAGCGGUGAAAUGCGCAGAUAUCAGGAGGAACACCGGUGGCGAAGGCGGGUCUCUGGGCCGAUACUGACGCUGAGGAACGAAAGCGUGGGGAGCGAACAGG
rnacentral:rRNA from 1 species